GGCGAAAGGGAGAGGAAUACGUAGAAAUCUACCCUCGGGACGGGGAUAGCGGCGGGAAACUGCCAGUAAUACCCGAUAACGUCUUUGGACCAAAGGUGUGAUUCCGCCUGAGGAUGAGUCUACGUCCUAUUAGCUAGUUGGCGGGGUAAUGGCCCACCAAGGCAACGAUGGGUAGCGGGUGUGAGAGCAUGACCCGCCUCAUUGGGACUGAGACACUGCCCAGACACCUACGGGUGGCUGCAGUCGAGAAUCUUCGGCAAUGGACGCAAGUCUGACCGAGCGACGCCGCGUGCGGGAUGAAGGCCUUCGGGUUGUAAACCGCUGUCGUAGGGGAACAAAUCUACGGGGGUUCUCCCCUGUAGUUGAGUGAUCCUAGGAGGAAGGAGAGGCUAAGCUCGUGCCAGCAGCCGCGGUAAGACGAGCUCUCCAAACGUUAUUCGGUAUCACUGGGCUUAAAGAGUUCGUAGGCGGUCUGGUAGGUGAGGUGUGAAAUCCCCCGGCUCAACCGGGGAACUGCGCUUCAAACCGCCGGACUUGAGGGAGACAGAGGUGGGCGGAACAGAUGGUGGAGCGGUGAAAUGCGUUGAUAUCAUCUGGAACACCGGUGGCGAAAGCGGCCCACUGGGUCUCAUCUGACGCUGAGGAACGAAAGCUAGGGUAGCGAACGGGAUUAGAUACCCUGGUAGUCC
rnacentral:rRNA from 1 species